rnacentral:rRNA from 1 species
CCCUUCGGGGGUGACGCUUGUGGAAUGAGCGGCGGACGGGUGAGUAACACGUGGGCAACCUGCCUGUAAGACUGGGAUAACCCCGGGAAACCGGGGCUAAUACCGGAUAAUACUUUCUUUUGCAUAAAGGAAAGUUGAAAGGCGGCUUCGGCUGUCACUUACAGAUGGGCCCGCGGCGCAUUAGCUAGUUGGUGAGGUAACGGCUCACCAAGGCGACGAUGCGUAGCCGACCUGAGAGGGUGAUCGGCCACACUGGGACUGAGACACGGCCCAGACUCCUACGGGAGGCAGCAGUAGGGAAUCUUCCGCAAUGGACGAAAGUCUGACGGAGCAACGCCGCGUGAGUGAUGAAGGUUUUCGGAUCGUAAAACUCUGUUGUUAGGGAAGAACAAGUUGGGUAGUAACUGACCCAACCUUGACGGUACCUAACCAGAAAGCCACGGCUAACUACGUGCCAGCAGCCGCGGUAAUACGUAGGUGGCAAGCGUUGUCCGGAAUUAUUGGGCGUAAAGCGCUCGCAGGCGGUCCUUUAAGUCUGAUGUGAAAUCUCGCGGCUCAACCGCGAACGGUCAUUGGAAACUGGAGGACUUGAGUACAGA